rnacentral:rRNA from 1 species
AGAAUCAACGCUGGCGGCGUGCCUAACACAUGCAAGUCGAACGCGAAAGUCCCGCAAGGGAUAAGUAGAGUGGCAAACGGGUGAGUAACACGUGGGUGACCUGCCUUCGAGUGGGGGGAUAACGUCCCGAAAGGGACGCUAAUACCGCAUGACAUCCUGCUUUUUUAAGAGGUGGAGAUACAAAGCGUGGGGAUCGCAAGACCUAGCGCUUGAAGAGGGGCCCGCGCCUGAUUAGCUAGGUUGGUGGGGUAAUGGCUCACCAAGGCAACGAUCAGUA